AUUGAACGCUGGCGGAAUGCUUUACACAUGCAAGUCGAACGGCAGCACGGGGGCAACCCUGGUGGCGAGUAGCGAACGGGUGAGUAAUACAUCGGAACGUGCCCAGUCGUGGGGGAUAACGUAGCGAAAGUUACGCUAAUACCGCAUACGAUCUACGGAUGAAAGCGGGGGACCGUAAGGCCUCGCGCGAUUGGAGCGGCCGAUGUCAGAUUAGGUAGUUGGUGAGGUAAAGGCUCACCAAGCCGACGAUCUGUAGCUGGUCUGAGAGGACGACCAGCCACACUGGGACGGAGACACGGCCCAGACUCCUACGGGAGGCAGCAGUGGGGAAUUUUGGACAAUGGGCGCAAGCCUGAUCCAGCCAUUCCGCGUGCAGGACGAAGGCCUUCGGGUUGUAAACUGCUUUUGUACGGAACGAAAAGGCUCUGGUUAAUACCUGGGGCUCAUGACGGUACCGUAAGAAUAAGCACCGGCUAACUACGUGCCAGCCGCCGCGGUAA
rnacentral:rRNA from 1 species